GGGGAAUCUUAGACAAUGGGGGAAACCCUGAUCUAGCCAUGCCGCGUGAUCGAUGAAGGCCUUAGGGUUGUAAAGAUCUUUCAGUGGGGAAGAUAAUGACUGUACCCACAGAAGAAGCCCCGGCUAACCCCGUGCCAGCAGUCGCGGUAAUACGGAGGGGGCUAGCGUUGUUCGGAAUUACUGGGCGUAAAGCGCACGUAGGCGGAUCAGAAAGUCAGAGGUGAAAUCCCAGGGCUCAACCUUGGAACUGCCUUUGAAACUCCUGAUCUUGAGGUCGAGAGAGGUGGGUGGAAUUCCGAGUGUAGAGGUGAAAUUCGUAGAUAUUCGGAGGAACACCAGUGGCGAAGGCGGCUCACUGGCUCGAUACUGACGCUGAGGUGCGAAAGCGUGGGGAGCAAAC
rnacentral:rRNA from 1 species